rnacentral:tRNA from 3 species
AUGGUAGAAGACAAAUUGGUCCGUCGCUCCUUUUGGGUAGGAGAGAUAGCGUGUUCGAAUCGCGCCUACCAUA